CAUUUGGGUUACUUGUUUGGUCUUUUGUGAGUAAUUUCUACAAUAAAUACUUAUUUUUACUUUCAGUAAGUGUGCCAUUUAUCGUUGUAGCAUCAGAGGACUUACCCUCUCUUUGGAGCAGAUGAAAGGAGAAGGAGUGGGGGGAAUGGGAGGAGAAGAGGGAGGAGGAACUUGGAUUGGAAUAUAAAAAUUAAAUUAAUAAAAUAAAAGCUGAGUAGGAUCAAAGUUUGAGGCCAGCAUGAACUCCAUGAGAUCCUGUCUCAAUGAAGAACAAGAAAACACAUUGCAGGGUUUCGCAGCACAUAGUGUGCUUUGGAUAUUUGUUUAAAUCCUUUAAGUUACAUAGUAGAUCUAUAACUUUUUGUGCUUAAGAUAGCCAAAAAAACUUAAGCAACUCAUGACUACAGUCUUCAUGUCUUUGUCUUUUAUUAUAUUUUGUUUAUUUCCAGGACAUCCUGUGGAAGUAGGCUUUUUCCUUCCACCAUGUGUGUCCCAGGGAUUUAACCCAGGAGACCUCCUUCUUUUGAAGUUAUUGCCUCAGUGUGUGCAACUUGUCACACAGAAUCUACUGGAUUUGGUGUGAAAUCUAGUAAAAUACAUCUGGAUUCAGAUUUGGACUUCUAAAUGUGAAUUUCAAUUUCCUUGUGUGUAAAAUGGGAUCAGCUACUAAUUUCACAGGUUACAGUAAAAGCUAAAUCAAUAUUGGCAUGUGGGUAAUGUACAAUAUGCAUGAGGAACUCCCUCUGUGUGUGUGUAUGUGUGUGUGUAUGCACGCACGCGUGCAUGUGUGUGUUGUAUUAGUGUUUCAUAGAGCAAUUAAUACAGAAUAAAUGGAAAUGUUAUGACAUUGGCUGAGGAAAGCUGUUAAUAUGUUGUGUUUGGAAAAUAUUAAAUGCAGUUUGACUUGCAUUAAGGAGGCUGUGAAUACCGGAAAGCAACAAACACUGCUUUUACCAUGUCUGCAUUUUAUAUGCUAGCCUAAGGCUCACAACAUGGAACUUGGUUAAUAAUUUAUUCAACUGAAGGUGUAUAAGCUCAGCUCAGAGAAAAAGCAAAAGCCUGAAUGCUAAAACCCCUUGCCUGCAAGACAUAAACAAUAUCUACCCUACUCUGAAAGAUCCCAAAACAAACUGAGGUAUGAUUCUUCCAAAGUCUAUCCAUAGGAACAAAUGAGUUCAUUAUGCUUAUCCACAGUCCUAAAGGCAAAAGUAUGGGUAUGGUUUGAAUUUAAUUGGUCCCCAUAAGCUCACAGGGAGUGGCAUUAUUAGGAGGUGUGGCCUUGAUAGACAGAGCAUGUCACUGUGGGAAUGGGCUUUGAGGUCGCUUUUGAUGUCUGUAGCUCCUGAUACCAUUGAAAUCAAUGCCAAUGCAAAAGGUCUGGGCUACUACUGGGGCUCAUGUUGGUGUCCAAGGGCCAAUCUGCUGAGGGGCCAUUGUGAUCUGAGUUGCCUGCACUGCCACCAUAGGCCAUGGUGACAUCCAGGCCCAAGUUGCUGCUGAGGGCUGUGUUCCUGCUGGGUUCUAUGAUGAUAUCUAUGCCCUUGUAGCCACAGGGUGGGUAAUAGGAGCCAUUUGUGCUGAAUUCUGAGGCCUAUGCUGAGCCUGCCCUUACUCCUCACUGGCCUUGGGAUAGCUGGCCCUGAUCCUCACUGAACACUGCAGCAGGAGAAAGAUGGCCCCACCCCUCACCACAGGAAUGGGACAGCUGGCCCUAAUGGCAUGGGCCUAGGAGAGAUGUCUCUGCCCCUUUCCUGAGGGGGCAGUCCCAGUUGCCCUGACCUACCAGCUCAGCUAUCACUCAGACCCACAUUCUCGGGUUUGAAUUGGCCCACCUAACAUCUACCCCAUCUAUGAUCUGUUGGAGUUUUUGAAGGGAUCGGUUCUACAGAAUGAUAAUUUCAGGAUCUCUAGGACUUGGGGCAACAGCAGAAUAUCUAAGAGGAGUUUUUGUGAGGGUUCAGUGAUGAUGGCAUGCCAGAGGCCUUGAAACAGACGAAUGACUCAUUGAAAUGAACGUCUUGUGGGUGGUACUGAUUGGACAACAGAGUACAUUGUGUGACACACUGUGGCUCCCAAUGACACUAGGAUGAAUGAAGAGGAGCUGGAGAGAUGGAGUAGUGAGGUGUGGCUCAUUCAUUUGUUUUGUUUCUAAUUAAUUGGGGGGGCAUGCUGCAGGGGUAAGGGAAGGCUAUGGAGGGACUGGAAAGUGAGUGGAAUUAGGAUGCAUGAUGUGAAAUUCCCAAAGAAUCUAUAAAUAAUUAUGUUAAAAAUUAAUCUUACAUUCUUUAAAAACUAAAAUAAAAAUCAUAUGAACACCAUAAGGGGAGGGAGUAACAUUAAAGCAACCACACAGGAAGGUCUCCUCUCAUCAGGAAUGUUGGUUCCCUUCAUCCUCUGGUCCCUUCCCCAAUGCCACAUGAAAUAGGACAGAAUUACAUACAACUGUUUAGGAAAGUGACUCAGGUGAGGGUCCCAUCUUCCUCCCUGCCCCCUCUUUCUAUGAGGAAAAGUAAAUAGUGAGUAGGCUUAGCUGUGACUGUUUUAUGAGCAGAUUCAGCAUCAGGGAAGAUGGCAGCUGUUUGGCUUGUAACCCUGUAGAGCAGUUCUUCAACAGAAAACAAAGAACCUUCUCAUGGAUGGAGACACUGCCUGUCAGUGUCCAUCGACUACUUGUUUUUUUUGUUUGUUUGUUUGUUUGUUUGUUUUUUGUUUUUUUCAAGACAGGGCUUCUCUGUAUUGUUUUGGAGGCUGUCCUGGAACUCGCUCGGUAGACCAGGCUGGCCUCAAACUCACAGAGAUCCGCCUGCCUCUGCCUCCCGAGUGCUGGGAUUAAAGGCGUGCACUACCAACGCCUGGCUACUUGUUGUUUUAUACCAGCUAUAUGCAAGGAGCAAUGAGCGCCCUUGCAUGACAAAGGGCGACCAAUGUUGGCUUGUCUAAGUGUCCUUCCACCUACACACAGCAGCCCAGACCUGUUCAGGCAGUGAAUCCUGAGCGCUAAGCACUGCCCAGGCUGCUUGCCAAAGGCCCAGCCUGACUCUAGUGUGGGGCUUAAGAAAAUCUAUGUGAAAUCCGUCACCCAGCUUCUACAAGUUUAUUCAUCCACUAAAGCAUGGAAGAAAGGAAAACUAAUUUUGAUCAAUUGUAAGUCCUAGGUAGCAAUGAAGGAUUUAAAUAAAGCAAUUGCUUGCUUUCUAAACUACAAAACAAACAAACAAAAACAUGAGGGUUAAGGGUUGACCAUGAUUUUUAAGAAAAUUAUUAAAUUUAUUGAUUGAUUAAUUCAUUGAUUGGUUGAUUGUUGGGGAGGCUGCUGAGGUAUUCAUGUGGUAAUCAGGAAAAUGCACAGGAACUAGUUCCCUCAUUCAAGCACAUAGGCCCUGGGUCAUCAGGCUUGGCAGUGUGCAUCUUUACUAAGCCAUUUUGUUGGCCCUUCCUGCUCUUUUCUUUUACUUUGCCGCCUCCAACAAUCUCAUUUGCUAAAUAACUCUUCAAUCCACACUCUUCUUUGCGUCUACAUUGCAAGUACUAGUCCAAGGAGGUAUCAUCGUUUGUCAGUUUCCUUACAUUUAUUCUGACCCUCCUUCUCAUCAGAGAUCCUCCAAAAGGCAGACUUUGUCCUGCCCCCACCACCACUCCACCCUUGCUGCCUAAACACCUUGGUUGGUUUCUUUUUGUUCCCAUGAUUAAGAUCAAAACACAUAGCAUGUCUGUGAUAGUUAAUCAACUUUAUAGGACCUAGAAUUACUCUGAAAGCAAAUCUCUGGCAUGUCUGUGAGGAAUUUCUAGACUGAGUUAAGUGAAGGGAAAGGGACCCAUGCUAAAUGUAGGUAGCACCAUUCCUUGGCCUGGAGUCUCAGACUACACAGAAAGGAGAAAGGGAGGUAAAGGCAGCAUUCACUUCCCUCCACUUCCUGGCUGUGAUCUCAGUGUGAAAGCAGCCUUGCUAUAUUCUUGAACUGCUGCAGCUGUCCCUUGGGGGCCAUGAUAAACUGUAUCCUUUCUUAAACUAUAGGCCAAAAUAAAGCCUCCCACACCUAGAUUGCUACUUCUCAGGCUUUUGACCACAGCAACAAGAAAAGUAACUAACACAAUGGCUUAAAAGGCAGAAUGUUCUCAAUUACUACAGUGUGCUCUUAGUUACCAACAAUAUAAAUUGAUUCUAGCUGAUUUAAACAGCAAAGUAAUACACUGAAUAAAAAAGAGAUUUCCUAGGACCAAUGAGAUAGGUAGUUCAGUCUUAAAGCCAUUUGCUGACAAGACUCACAGUGCCAGCCACAAAAUGAGAGAAAAGAAGCCGCUCCUACAAGUUGUCCUAUGACCUCCAUGCACAUAUUCACACAUGUACACAGACAACACACUCACACACAAAAUAAAUAAAAUGUAAGAGAGAGAGAGAUUACCAGUAUGAAUAAGUGACCCAACUAAGACAACUGGAGCCAGGCUGAGGAAAUGGUUGCCACAGCAUGCCUUGCAAACACACUGGAAACAUCUGCAGAUGCCACUGCCACACCCUUCAAGAGCAGAAGAGAGCUUACUAUGUAUUUCUGGCUGAAGGCCCAGACAUUAAUCAGGGACACUGGGUUGACUGAAGCCAAGCCAGGUGCCCACACUUCACUAUCUGCCCACUGGGUGGCUGCAAUAAGGCUGCUGGCCUUCAAUCAAGAAUCAAAGUGAGGAGUUUCCCAAACACAGGAGGUGUCUGAAAUGCUGAGCAGCACUCCUCCCCAGAAGGAAGACACAAAUAGAAGUGGGGAGGCCAAGUUCCUUAUCCUAGGACCCACGACUUUGCGUUAGCCCCCAGCUCUAUUCCAUUCUUCCUUCGCCCAUCCCCACAUUCCAGCUGCCCUUUUCUCAAGCACUUUCCCUACAUGAAAGGCCCUUUCUGCUGCCCAAAAUAUUGCUUUUACCUCCAGUAGCCCUCUCCACUUCUUGUCUGAGCCAAUAUCAGAGUACUGUCAGAAAGGAUGGCACAGGCAUGGGUGAGUUCAGUGAAGGAACAUUCAUUGAUGGAAGAACCAGGCAUCCUGAGCUAGGAGGAGUAAGAAGAUGACUGGGGCCCCAAAGGAUAUUGCCAUUAAAAGAAAAGAAAUCAGUAGAACCUUCGAUCAGAAAGAAAAGAACCUGGUUUCUCUUUGUCUACCUGCCCCUUGUCUCCUGAUGCAUGUCUCUUUUGUCAAACUCAGUAUGAAGCUACAGGAGCAAGGCAAUAUUAAGAAAAUGGUGGGUGAUUCCGAAAACUCUAAUAAAAAUGAACCUGUAA